UACGAGGGGGGCGAGCGUUGUUCGGAAUUAUUGGGCGUAAAGGGUGCGUAGGCGGUUUGGUAAGUCUUGUGUGAAAUCUUCGGGCUCAACUCGAAGUCUGCAUGAGAAACUGCCGGGCUUGAGUGUGGGAGAGGUGAGUGGAAUUCCCGGUGUAGCGGUGAAAUGCGUAGAGAUCAGCAGGAACACCCGUGGCGAAGGCGGCUUCCUGGGCCGCGCCUGACGCUGAGACGCGAAAGCGUGGGGAGCAAACAGG
rnacentral:rRNA from 1 species